rnacentral:rRNA from 1 species
CAGUGAGGAGUAUUGGACAAUGGAUGGAAAUCUGAUCCAGCCAUGCCGCGUGCAGGAAGACGGCCUUAUGGGUUGUAAACUGCUUUUAUACGGGAGCAAUAAGGGUUACGAGUAAUCCGAUGAGAGUACUGUAUGAAUAAGGAUCGGCUAACUCCGUGCCAGCAGCCGCGGUAAUACGGAGGAUCCGAGCGUUAUCCGGAAUUAUUGGGUUUAAAGGGUGCGUAGGCGGCCAUUUAAGUCAGCGGUGAAAUUUUGCAGCUUAACUGUAACAGUGCCGUUGAUACUGUUUGGCUAGGAUUUGGUUGUAGUGUGCGGAAUGUGUGGUGUAGCGGUGAAAUGCUUAGAUAUCACACAGAACACCGAUUGCGAAGGCAGCACACUAAGUCAUUAUUGACGCUGAGGCACGAAAGUGUGGGGAUCAAACAGGAUUAGAUACCCUGGUAGUCCACACUGUAAACGAUGAUAACUCGCUGUCGGCGAUACACAGUCGGUGGCCAAGCGAAAGCAUUAAGUUAUCCACCUGGGGAGUACGACCGCAAGGUUGAAACUCAAAGGAAUUGACGGGGGCCCGCACAAGCGGAGGAACAUGUGGUUUAAUUCGAUGAUACGCGAGGAACCUUACCCGGGCUCGAACGGUGCAUGAAUAUACGAGAGAUUGUAUAGUCCUUCGGGACAUGUAUCGAGGUGCUGCAUGGUUGUCGUCAGCUCGUGCCGUGAGGUGUCGGCUUAAGUGCCAUAACGAGCGCAACCCUUGUCAUUAGUUGCCAUCNNGUCAAGCUGGGGACUUUAAUGAGACUGCCACCGUAAGGUGUGAGGAAGGGGGGGAUGACGUCAAAUCAGCACGGCCCUUAUGUCCGGGGCGACACACGUGUUACAAUGGNNGGUACAGAGGGCAGCUAUCCGGUGACGGAAUGCUAAUCUCCAAAACCUUUCUCAGUUCGGAUUGGAGUCUGCAACUCGACUCCAUGAAGGUGGAUUCGCUAGUAAUCGCGCAUCAGCCAUGGCGCGGUGAAUACGUUCCCGGGCCUCGCACACACCGCCCCCCAAG